rnacentral:rRNA from 1 species
GAGGGACGUUCGUGGAACGAGCGGCGGACGGGUGAGUAACACGUAGGCAACCUGCCUGUAAGACUGGGAUAACUCGCGGAAACGCGAGCUAAUACCGGAUAAUACUUAUGAUCUCCUGAUGAUAAGUUGAAAGGCGGCUUUUGCUGUCACUUACAGAUGGGCCUGCGGCGCAUUAGCUAGUUGGUGAGGUAACGGCUCACCAAGGCGACGAUGCGUAGCCGACCUGAGAGGGUGAUCGGCCACACUGGGACUGAGACACGGCCCAGACUCCUACGGGAGGCAGCAGUAGGGAAUCUUCCGCAAUGGACGAAAGUCUGACGGAGCAACGCCGCGUGAGUGAUGAAGGUUUUCGGAUCGUAAAACUCUGUUGUCGGGGAAGAACAAGUAUGAUAGUAACUGAUCGUACCUUGACGGUACCCGACCAGAAAGCCACGGCUAACUACGUGCCAGCAGCCGCGGUAAUACGUAGGUGGCAAGCGUUGUCCGGAAUUAUUGGGCGUAAAGCGCUCGCAGGCGGUUCUUUAAGUCUGAUGUGAAAUCUUGCGGCUCAACCGUAAACGUGCAUUGGAAACUGGAGGACUUGAGUGCA